rfam:Myotis brandtii contig217027, whole genome shotgun sequence.
UGGCUCAGUGGAUAGAGCGUUGGCCUGCGGACUCAAGGGUCACAGGUUCGAUUCCGGU